GGCCGGCACCGCCCCCGGACCCAGUGCGACCGGCGCCGCCCCCGGACCCAGCCACCGGCGCUGCCCCCAGACCCAGCCACCGCCGCCGCACUCAGACCAGCCACCUCCUCCGCCCUCAGACCCAUCCACCUCCAUGGGAAAACGCUGCCGGCACUCUCCACCUUUAACCCCAGUCGCUGCUUCCAACCUGCGAGGCCAGGAACCAGCCCCUGUCGCCCCUCCCGUGCCCGUCCAGUUCAGAUGAGGUUCCUUGCUGCCUGAUGGAUAAUUUGAAAAAGAAUUUCGAGUCGAACAAUUGCAAAAAUUCAGAGGAGACAAAUGGGAGAAGUUCAAAGAAAAUUCGGACUUGUAUAGUAACGAAGGAGGAAGCGGCAGCGCCGCAAGGUCCAGGAAUACAGUUCAGAUGAGGUUCCUUGCUGCCUGAUGGAUAAUUUGAAAAAGAAUUUCGAGUCGAACAAUUGCAAAAAUUCAGAGGAGACAAAUGGGAGAAGUUCAAAGAAAAUUCGGACUUGUAUAGUAACGAAGGAGGAAGCGGCAGCGCCGCAAGGUCCAGGAAUACAGGUAAAAAAGAAAUGAACUUGCGCGUCUUGACGCCAUGACAAGCUAGCUCUUUGAGCACUUUGGAGACCAUGUGCAUAGUAAGAACUAGAAACAAAUGCUCACUUUCAGUACAAGACAGUGUGGUGGAAAUCUAUGGAUGGAUGAUGGUUAGUGUGGUUGAAUGGUUCAGUUUGCUUGCGUAUUUCUCAUUGUUCAGCUCAGUUUGGUUAUGCUACUCGAAUGGUUCAGAAGCACAGGUUUGAAGAUGAUUUCUCUGCAUGUUUUGGUUUUGCCUUUCCUGCUGAUCCGUUUCUUCUCUGAACUUUCAGUUAUGGUUGCUUAUAGAGAAGAGAGAUGGUCAAUACUGUUUGCUUGUGUAUGCUAGUGAAGUGGCAUGAUUCAUUUUUCUUGUGUGUGCAUGCUACUUAUAGUUCAAAAUUGUUCGCUUGUAUAUGCUACUGUAAGUGCCUAUGUUGAAGCACACUAUUUAAGUUUGUUUUACACACAGAACUUCAACUAGAAACUUUUGAGAAAGUACGCCCGCUUUGUUUUUGUGAAAAGUUCAAGUAUGAUUGUUUGAAAAGUACAAAAAUGAAUGUCUUGAAGAACAUAAAAAAACAAAAAAAUAUGUGUUAAAUGCCUUAGACGUGAGUCCUCUAAAGCUAAUUAAUAGUCUGUAUAAUAGCAAACUUUAAGCUGUCUUUCAUUUCCUUAUCUUAUUUCAGUGAGCUCCAAUAAACUGAUGUUCUUAUUUCAGUGACACACUCAGUUUAGUUCCCAUAUUUUACUUCAGUUCAAUAGAUAAAUCAUAAGAAGUAAAAAUAACUCCUUGACUGUACUGAUUUAUAGCAGUGUAGUUUGCUUCCUUUAAAAUUCAGUUAGUUCACCUUGGCUAGCAACUCCCGCGCCAAAGCCACCCUGAGAGCGUACAGGACGGCGACGUGUUCGAGGACUGCGACCGUUGGCAGAUACAACUAAAUUUAGGAUGUUUUUGAUGCUCUUUUCUUUUUAAGUGUGUUCAAGAAUAUCAUCUUGAAAAUGCUAAAAGAGAAUUGUAGUCUUCUCGCUCAACAAAAGUUUGGAUUCUAAAGGUAUUUAUGAAGGUUUGUCAGUUCCAUGUGCAUGUUUGAUCAUGUUUGGAUUUUCCUUCGAGAUUUUUUACAAGUUAAAACAUAUAGCAGUCAAGUGUAUAGAUACAUAAGUUCAGUACAUAGAUGAUGGUUCAGUUUUGCAGGAACGGGUGAGUGUCUUCAUCCAAGACAUGAGCGACGAGUCAGCCAUGACAUCAUAAACUGGUUCAGUUCCACUUCGCCGGCCAAAUCAUGGCGCACCCAGCCGCCGCUCGUGAUCCCCGCUCUUUCAGCUCCAUUCGUCAGUGCCGCCAGUCGACAGGAGUAGGAGCGACGUGCCUGUCAACCAACAAGAACAGAAGGAGCCAACCGGACGUCUUUGUCUAGCCUGACUUGGGACGGCUUCUUUGCAACUUCAGGUUAGAAAGUUCAACAUGUGAUUGGAAUUCAGUGCGAAAAACUGCAGGUUAGAAGUUUAUCUUCUGUGCUGCCCCCGGAAAGAAGUUUGUCUUCUAAAGGUUGAAGCUAAUGGGCUAGGAAGCUUUAUAAGGAAUUGAUCAGAGAAGGUGCAUCAUGGUAAAAGCUUGGAUCGGUGUGUGGCCUAGAAUAGCAUGAAUCCCUCAUGUACUAUGAACAUAUUUAGAGUUUAACUAAUCAGUGGAAGUUUUGCUUCUGAAAACUGACAUUGUUCGGCAUGUAUUGUUCAGCAGUGCAGGUUCUCCGGGGCGCCAAGUAUUGCCAGCAGCGAUGCCUGCAUCAUGGCCCAUUCGAGAGAUGCUAUUUUUGUGUAUGCAUAUUUAUCCAUUUAGUUUUCUGUUCUGUCUUUUGCCCCAAUUGAUCCUUGUGUUAUUUUUUUAUAUGUUGUGCACUUAUCCCAUCGUGAAGUGAAAAAUGACAAGCGAGCUAAGUACUAGUUCGGAAAGUUUGCAAGUUCGAACACAUGAACCUAAAAAACUUCAUUGAAAAAGUUUGGUUUGCCUGUGCCAUAAAAAUGUCUUGCUAAAGAAAUAUCUCUUGUGCACUUAUUUAUUCGCUUGAAUAUUUGGUUUGAUUGUCAGGUGUGAGAUGGCGGCCGCCGAUGUCGCUAAAUCCCUCUACAAACUAGUGGUUGGCUGCUCCCAGCAGUAAAUGUGGCCGGGUUCAGCAGCUAGCGCUUCCUCGAUCAACCAUUUGGAGCACUUUAUUGCGUUCAUGUGGUGGUGAUUGAUUUUAGGAUCAGUAAAUUUGAUGUUGGUAGCUAGCUUGCGUAUGCAACAUGCAAGUUCAAUAUUGGCAUUAGAUUCAGUUCUUGUACAUAUGUCCUAGUGUUCACAUUUCUUCGGGUAAAAGUUUAUUUUAGUUCAA